GUUCCUCCAAGGCCCCACCUUCUAAUCCUUCUAAUCCUUUCAAAUAGUGCCACUCCCCAGGGACUAAACAUUCACAAAGGGAAUAGUCUAUUCAAACCACCACAGAAGGUUUUGAUGCAAGGACCUUUGUUUUAGCUGUGGCUACUUCCACUGCACCAGGAUUCCAGGCUCACAGCAGGUGCCCGAGUAGUUCUUGAAAAGAAAAUUAUACGAAUUCUAGGUUUAAAAAUAUAAAAUUAAAAGAGUUAGCCCCAAAAGCCACAAACUCAGGGCUAAGCCCUGCCGCCAGGAAUAGCAGGCCAUAAAGAUAAAGAAAAGGAAUGCAAGAACCAGCUCAGGCUAUCGAGGACUGACCCAUAAACCAUCCAAAGACGUCCCCCCAGCUUACUCAGAGUCAUACUUUAACCAGAUGUCCUCCAGACCCUGAUAAGCCCCUACUUGUGCUUUUCAGCCAUUGUGUCCUGCAGAGAGCAUUCCAAGAAACCGGGCAGCCCAAGCCUAACCAGAGGUGUUUCAAAUACAAAUGCUCCAUCAGUUUUGACAAACGUUUAAAAAUAAUGAGGACCUGAAGACCCUACCCUUCUCCUGAUUUAGUAGCUCUGUUCCAGGAACCAGGGGGCCAUAAAACCUUCUGGCGUCCCCUUAUCUCCUGGAGCCAUAAAACAAUCUUGUAACUUGUGGUACAUUCCCCUUUGACAUCCCCCAUCCCCUGGUGCUCACAGCCUCUGCCUUUAAAUACUCUUUUUCCCAGCCUCUCGGGGUCGACACCUCUGUCUCCUGCGUGGGAUAUGUGUCGGCCCGGAGAUCUCUGUAAUAGGUCUCCGUAAUAAACCUCGCCUUUGCUUAUUACAUCCAAAAUGGUCUCUCUGUGUCUGGGGUCCGCGAUUUCCCAAGACUUGAGUAAGGGUCUCUCUGCGUGGGAUCUUUCAUAAUAAUGGGGGCUCGUCCGGGAUCUGCGCGACUACCCCAGACUCCGAAGACCCCUUGGAGGCUAAAAGACCUACAGGUGAUACAGAAAGAAAUCUGCUCACAGCUGACAGCAGCCUAUGCCCCGGAGACCCCUGAGACAUCCCAUCAGUUCCAGGUCGGAAGCAGCUACACUGAGCCCAGACACUCGAUCCUCGCUGGAAAGGACCAUACCUGGUGCUGCUGACCACCCUGACAGCCGUCAAUUCUCAGCCCUCACCAGCCGUGUACUAGCUGUUAGGGCUGAGAGCUGGGACCUAGAGAGAAAUUCAGUCAUGUUUGUCCUGGGUUCCAUCGAGAUAGGUGUGGGGAUAGGCUUGAUUUCUAUUACAAAUAAUGUAACAUUACAUAUGUUAGUACUCCUAACACUUCUUGGGACUGUGCCUCAGGGAUCACAACCUAUAUAAGUUUAGAAGUUCUGAAAGACAGUCAUGACCUUGGUGUAUAGGUUCAGAUAGUGUCCAGAUUGGAAUCCUGAUGCUAAAGACUUAGUAAGAGACAAAAAAAAGGAGUUGAGAAUUACUUAGGGCUAGGGCUAUCUAGGUGCUACAAGGGCAGCACAAGGACAUCUGCUGUUGCCCUACAAUACAAGGCUUAUAGAGAAUUCAGAACUGCCAUUGACUCAGAUAUAAAAAGAGUAAAAGACUUUUUAGCUGACCUCCAAGAAUACCUAACUUCCCUCUCAGAGGUAGUCCUUCAAAAUAAGAAAAGAUCAGACCUGAUAUUCCUUAAAGAAGGAAUCUGUGUGCUACACUGAAAGAAAAAUGUUGCUUCUAUACAGACCAUUCAGGAGUAAUUAAAGACUCCAUAAAUAAACUUAAAAAAAAGGUUAGACAAAAGACAGACAGACAGAAAAACACAUCAGAGAUAGUUCGAGAGCUAGUUUAGUAGAUCUCCCUGGAUGACUACCCUACUCUCUGCUACAGCUGGGCCAUUAUUAAUAAUUUUCUUGGUUUUAGUUUUUGGCUCCUGCGUGACAAACAGGUUAAUUGCUUUUGUUAAAAAUUGAGUGGGUGCUGUACGGUUGAUGGUCCUGAGACAACAGUACCAGUCAGUUAGGACAACUGGUGAGACCAAAUAAGACUUGAUAUCAAAAUUCUAAGAUUAGAAUUAUUUAGUAGGAGAAGACGGGAAUGAAAAGAAAAUUAUACGAAUUCUAGGUUUAAAAAUAUAAAAUUAAAAGAGUUAGCCCCAAAAGCCACAAACUCAGGGCUAAGCCCUGCCGCCAGGAAUAGCAGGCCAUAAAGAUAAAGAAAAGGAAUGCAAGAACCAGCUCAGGCUAUCGAGGACUGACCCAUAAACCAUCCAAAGACGUCCCCCCAGCUUACUCAGAGUCAUACUUUAACCAGAUGUCCUCCAGACCCUGAUAAGCCCCUACUUGUGCUUUUCAGCCAUUGUGUCCUGCAGAGAGCAUUCCAAGAAACCGGGCAGCCCAAGCCUAACCAGAGGUGUUUCAAAUACAAAUGCUCCAUCAGUUUUGACAAACGUUUAAAAAUAAUGAGGACCUGAAGACCCUACCCUUCUCCUGAUUUAGUAGCUCUGUUCCAGGAACCAGGGGGCCAUAAAACCUUCUGGCGUCCCCUUAUCUCCUGGAGCCAUAAAACAAUCUUGUAACUUGUGGUACAUUCCCCUUUGACAUCCCCCAUCCCCUGGUGCUCACAGCCUCUGCCUUUAAAUACUCUUUUUCCCAGCCUCUCGGGGUCGACACCUCUGUCUCCUGCGUGGGAUAUGUGUCGGCCCGGAGAUCUCUGUAAUAGGUCUCCGUAAUAAACCUCGCCUUUGCUUAUUACAUCCAAAA